GUGUUCACUUCAGCAGCACGUAUAUUAAAACAAGUGACACAGAGAGACUAGUAUAGCACCUGUGCAAAAAUGACACCCAAAUUCUUGAAGUGUUCCAUAGUUUU
rnacentral:snRNA from 1 species